rnacentral:rRNA from 1 species
AUAGCGUAUAUUAAAGUUGUUGCAGUUAAAAAGCUCGUAGUUGAACUUCAGGCCUGGUUGGGCGGUCCGCCUCACGGCGAGUACUGUUCGGCCGGGUCUUACCUCUUGGUGAGCCUGCAUGCCCUUUACUGGGUGUGUAGGGGAACCAGGACUUUUACCUUGAGAAAAUUAGAGUGUUCAAAGCAGGCCUACGCCUGAAUACAUUAGCAUGGCAUAAUAAAAUAGGACCAGCGGUUCUAUUUUGUUGGUUUCUAGAGUCGCCGUAAUGAUUAAUAGGGAUAGUUGGGGGCAUUAGUAUUCAGUUGCUAGAGGUGAAAUUCUUGGAUUUACUGAAGACUAACUACUG